ACCCUCCAGGGUUCCCUUUCCCAUCAGAUCUGAAUACUGGUCUUGGUGGUUGUAAAAGGAGGAAAAGUAAUACUGAAGGAGCUGGCCUCGCAGUAUUGUAGUCUGGCAUAUGGCGUGUGGGCUAGUUUCCAACAAGG
ensembl:snoRNA